AGCAGGCAAACAUUACAAUGUUCUGCUCAGUAACAAAACCUCCCUUUGCUCAAACCUAUUGAACUCUGGAAUAAAUCUAUCUCAAGGAGGAGCUCUGACUGUUACAAGGCUCCCCAGAGUCUGUAAAGAAAUUUUGAAGAAAAUACAACAGCUCAAAAUGUUCAGCCACAUUUCAACACUCUGCUCUUUUAAUUGGAAGUGAAAGCUCCAGGAAGCUGCGUUAAAGGUUUAUAAAAGCAAUGCUCCACUGAGAAGAGAUACUAAAUCAGCUGAGAACAAUUUUACAUGGAUCCUUACAUUUAUUGGAGUGGGAGAAAGAAAGAGAGAGAGUGCAAUUCUUCAUCCUAUUGCUCUGGCACCGAUUCAAACCAUGAUCCCAGAG